rfam:Salmo salar isolate Sally breed double haploid chromosome ssa03, whole genome shotgun sequence.
GCUGCGAUGGCCGAGUGGUUAAGGCGUUGGACUUGAAAUCCAAUGGGGUCUCCCUGCGCACGUUCGAACCCUGCUCGCAGCG